rnacentral:tRNA from 1 species
CUCGCAAUAGCUCAGUGGUAGAGCGGGAGACUGUAGAUCUCUAGGCCGCUGGUUCGACUCCAGCUUGCGAGA